UGAACCUGAGUCAGCCCAGCCUGAGGAGUGACCAGAGCAGCAAAGCCCUGCAGGACCAAUGCAAUGCUAAAGGGCCACAGCCUGCAGCUGACUCACUGAUCUGCAGGAACCAGCAGAAUUGUGUCGUCUCUCCUGUUUCUUGUUGUCAUACCUCCUGUACACCAAAUGUAUUGAUGAGUGAUUAAAAACAACCUUCCUGUGUACGCUCAAUGAGAUUCUGAUUAUACUGUUAGUUUAAUAAAAUAGUGUUUUCUUUCUGUAGUGAUUUUUACAAAGCGCAUUGUUACAGAGCAACAUUACACAAGUCCGGGCCUGUACUUUACUGCCUGUAGAUUACAUCUCUUGAAAAAUAUCAUUGAAAAAAAGAUUGUUUGUAGAUUUGAAUUUUUGAUGUAUUGUUUUUUAAAUAUUUUUUGUUAUAUUUGGGAAAUGUAAAAUCCCACAUUUUUUUAAUGUUUCUCUUGAUGGUUUUGUGAGUUUAUUUUCCCCUUGGUGAAAUAGCUCUGCGUAUUCUGUACAUUUUCUAAAUAAAACAUGUGAUCAGGAUUUAUUUUCUAUUGGUUUUUCUGUUCCUUUGCAUCAGCCAUGGUAGAUUUUCUUUUUAGCCUUUAAGGAGUAAGAUCAUAAAUAUGUAAUCAGCAUGUUCAUAUAUUUCCACAAUUCCAGUGCUUAAUAUUUUAUUUCUGUAUUAUUUUAUCUACAAUGUGUUGUCUUUGUAAUUCUGUUAUUGGCUUAAUGCAAAGCCCUUGGAGCUACAUUUUAUGUAUGAAAGGUCUAUAUAAAUAAAGCUUAAUUUUAUUAUAUUAUAUUAUAUAAUAUUGUAUUAUACCAUAUUACAUUAUAUUACUGAACUUUGGAAUGUAUUGAAAGCAAUGCAGUUCUUGAGUGGGAGUGGGACAGACCAUUUAUAAUUUCAUGAACAAGACACACGUCUGCACUUUUUAUAGUGUUCUCCCAGCUCAGCCAGUUGUGUCUUCUUAGGACAGAGAGGUGGUGAUGAUUGUUUGUCUCUCUGUCCAGGGCAUUCAGAGCUUGUUUGUACACAGACUGCAUUCUUUUAUGAAUUUAGUUGCUGCCACAUUAUUGGCUGAUAUUGCAUUUACAAGGUGGUGUACAGGUCUACCUAAUAAAUUGCUCAGAGUGCUUUUGCUUGCUUUUACCCAACCAGUAUGUCGGAUAAGAAUCUUCAUAAGUCACGAUGCAUUCAUGUGAAGUCUCUCGGCUUCAGUGGUGAAACAGUUCCUAAUAAAUCUAUGUUUAGACAGUU